rnacentral:rRNA from 1 species
GGGGGGGGGGGGGGGGGGGGGGGGCGGGGGGGGGGCGAGCGGGGGAGGGGAGGAGGCUUCGGCGGAGUGAAAGGAAUUGGAGUAGUGGCGGACGGGGGAGGAACGCGUGGGUAACCUGCCUUACACAAGGGGAUAGCCGUUGGAGACGACGAAGAAUACCCUAUGACACUAUCACUUCGCAUGAAGCGAUAGUCAAAGUGUUAGCGGUGUAAGAUGGACUUGCGUCUGAUUAGCUAGUUGGUGAGAAAAAAGCCCACCAAGGCAACGAUCAGUAGCCUGCUUGAGAGAGUGUACGGCCACAUUGGGACUGAGACACGGCCCAGACUCCUACGGGAGGCAGCAGUGGGGAAUUUUGCACAAUGGGGGAAACCCUGAUGCAGCGACGCCGCGUGAUUUAGAAGGCCUUCGGGUUGUAAAAAUCUUUUGUAUAGGAAGAAAAUGACAGUACUAUACGAAUAAGGUCCGGCUAAUUACGUG